rnacentral:lncRNA from 1 species
AAGGGCUCAACUUUCUUCUUUUCCCAAACUGCAUCUUGCCUUUAUAGGGGUAGACUUUUAGGAAAACUUGAUCUCCCACGGUAAACUCUAGGGGUCACUUACGAUUAUUGGCGUAAUUCUUUUGGUGGCUUUGGGAAGUUGCCAAAAUUUUACGGAUGAUUGCAAUCUUCUCAAUGGUCUCCUGAAUGAAGUUUGGUCCUAAGUAGCUGGUUCUCAAC